AGGUGGGCAUCUUUGUGCCCCUAAUUCUACUCCAGACACUUGUCCAUUUUUACCUCUCGUCUCACUCUUUUUUUUCUUUUUCGAGGUUACGGGCACUUGCUCCUUUUUAUUUCCUCGCAUAUUUUUGCAUAACCCAUGCCUCUUCUGCAUAGACUCUUUUUGGAGAGAGAGAAUAACAACACUUGGGACAGUGAGUGAUAAUAUUUUUUAGCAAUUUUAAGGAAUGGUGGUGGAUGGUGUAGUAGAUGUGUGCAAGUGAAUAUCUUAAUUUAACCACAUGAAAAACUCCUAAGGGUCUACACAGCUCGAUCAAACUCAAUGUAAAUAUAAGUAGCAAAAGAUGUUAUAGCAAGUAUGGCUGUGAUAGGAAUUUUGUCAUGCUAGGAACUCAUCAUGUGAUUUGCAAGUUUUCAAAAUAAAUCUCCAGAACUCAGUGUUGUAAGAACAAGAUAAACAGUAGCUCAAACUUUAUAUCAUGCCUUUCUCUUACCCAAACUUUAGUUUUAGGUUC
rnacentral:lncRNA from 1 species